UACGGAGGAUUCAAGCGUUAUCCGGAUUUAUUGGGUUUAAAGGGUGCGUAGGCGGUCGGAUAAGUUAGAGGUGAAAUCCCGGGGCUCAACUUCGGAAUUGCCUCUGAUACUGUUCGGCUAGAGAGUAGUUGCGGUAGGCGGAAUGUAUGGUGUAGCGGUGAAAUGCUUAGAGAUCAUACAGAACACCGAUUGCGAAGGCAGCUUACCAAGCUACUUCUGACGUUGAGGCACGAAAGCGUGGGGGGCAAACAGG
rnacentral:rRNA from 1 species